UACGAAGGGGGCGAGCGUUGUUCGGAUUUACUGGGCGUAAAGGGCGCGUAGGCGGCGCGAUAAGUCGAGUGUGAAAGCCCCGGGCUCAACCUGGGAAUUGCGCUCGAUACUCUUGUGCUUGAGUGCGGGAGAGGAGCGUGGAAUUCCCAGUGUAGAGGUGAAAUUCGUAGAUAUUGGGAAGAACACCGGUGGCGAAGGCGGCGCUCUGGACCGAGACUGACGCUGAGGCGCGAAAGCGUGGGGAGCAAACAGG
rnacentral:rRNA from 1 species